AUUUCCAGUGAUGUCGAUAUUUGUUUUACCAUGCUAAUUCUGAUCUCGUGACGAGUUAAUCAUAAACUAGCUGAGGAAAUC